rnacentral:tRNA from 1 species
GCGGGCGUGGUGGAAUUGGUAGACACGCAGGAUUUAGGUUCCUGUGCUUCACGGCGUGGGGGUUCAAGUCCCCCCGCCCGCA